UGCGUAGGCGGAACUUUAAGUCAGUGGUGAAAUCCUGCGGCUCAACCGUAGAACCGCCAUUGAUACUGAAGUUCUUGAAUGCAGUUGAGGUAGGCGGAAUGUGUAAUGUAGCGGUGAAAUGCUUAGAUAUUACACAGAACACCGAUUGCGAAGGCAGCUUGCUAAACUGUGAUUGACGCUGAUGCACGAAAGCGUGGGGAGCGAACAGGAUUAGAUACCCUGGUAGUCC
rnacentral:rRNA from 1 species